AUACUUGCUCUCAUUAUUCAGCCACUGUGUCAAGUUAGAUGUGCAAACUGUAAAAAACACACGUGGAGCCCAGAGCUUUUUUUUUUGGGGGGG